AGCAUGCGUGGUGCUGAGUGGAGAAACUGACAGACACACAAGCAAUUUCUGAGACUUUGUCCAUGUCAUACUGGGAAGCAGACAAAGCAAUGAAACGUCAGUCUACCAUGCUGUGAUGAAGCAGAAGUUGGCUCUUCUCAGUGCCUUUCCUGUGUGCUCUACUGCUUUGGAUUUUCCCUCCAGUCAGAAGCGACUAAGAGAUCCCCAGACUGGGACUUUUGGAAUAGGCAGGUACAGCAUCGUUGAUGGGCUGUUAUUGAAGAUUUGCUCUCGACUCUGCCUGUUGCUUGAGAAAUGCUGAAGAAAAUGGUGUUAUCAUCUUGCCCUUGGCUGGGAGCAGGAUGGUCGAGCAGGGCAGGGGUAUCAGGAGCUCCUUUGGAGGCAGCAUCCUGAACUCCAUCUGGGAGUUUUGGUUUGGAAACUCUCCUGCUGGUGCUAUAUUAAAAUGGCUUGCUCAGUGUGAUCACAAGACUGUUUCAAGAAUUCCAUUCAUAGCUCUCAAAAAUGAGAUGAGAACUCUUAAAGGCUCAGAAACUUAAACAAUAUAUAUAACUUCAUUUCAGUAUAAUAGAUUUUUAACUUGGCAUUUCAAAAAUCUGUAAUUCAUCACACUGGUCACCAGGCAAAUGGGGAGAAAAAUCUGGGGUAAGAAUAUCACAACCUGGCUGCAUUUUUUUUUUUUUUCUUUAAUUUGUUCUUCUGUUUGUUCUU